UGUAGGUAUGUUUUUGGGGGCUGACCAUUUGAUACUGCAUACCCAAUUGGUGUGCUCUUCCCUGGGGAAGGCCAUCUCUCUUUCUCCCAGCUUCACUCAGAGUCUCUGAGCAAAGUGCUGAGUCAUUAGCAGGUUCAGCCUGCUCACCAUGGGGAGGAAUCCGUCAGAGGAUUCUUCAUCAAGGAGAUCAAACUCAAGUUAAACCUAAAAUAUCCUCAGCAAGAAUGCAAGGUGGAGGGACUUCUGCACCAUCUUACCCUGUUACCUGGGUGCCAACUUAGAGUGAGUUCAUCAUCAAAUAGAGUCAUCUGAAUAAAUAAAACUAAAUA